CAUUGACUUUCCUAACCAACAAAAUUGAAACACAUGUCAAACAUGUGUUUCAAAAAAGUUUUAUUUUUAAUUUUAAAUUUUUCAAAACAAUUUUCUUAAAACAAACAUAUAUAAAAUAAACAAUCUUUUCAAUUCAACUUUCAAAAUUAAUUAAAGAUGAUUAAAAUUAUUAUGUCUAAAUAAAAUAAACAAAAUUAAACAGACGUGACAAUGUCGAAAUGUAUCUGAUGAGGACACAGAAUUCUGUGUCGAAACGCGUCACAUUUUUAUGUCAAUUUUUGUAAUAAACUAAAAGCCAUUUAGGCCAAAAUGAAAAAAAACAUCUUUUAAUUGAAAUAUAUUGGCUUUAACCUAAAAAUUGUAACAUAAUAUAAUCAAAAUUGAUAGUAAGUGCACGUUAAUUUUACUUAUUGUAAUUUAAAUAAAAUGAAACUUAAUAAUAAUUACUGUAAUUAAUUUGUGAAAAUUCUAUUUAAAAGUAAAAUAUAGCAAAAAAAAGA